UACGUAGGGCGCAAGCGUUGUCCGGAAUUAUUGGGCGUAAAGAGCUCGUAGGCGGCUUGUCACGUCGGGUGUGAAAGCCCGGGGCUUAACCCCGGGUCUGCAUUCGAUACGGGCAGGCUAGAGUGUGGUAGGGGAGAUCGGAAUUCCUGGUGUAGCGGUGAAAUGCGCAGAUAUCAGGAGGAACACCGGUGGCGAAGGCGGAUCUCUGGGCCAUUACUGACGCUGAGGAGCGGAAGCGUGGGGAGCGAACAGG
rnacentral:rRNA from 1 species